UACGGAGGGGGCUAGCGUUAUUCGGAAUUAUUGGGCGUAAAGGGCGUGUAGGCGGCUUCGUAAGUCUUGUGCGAAAGCCCUCGGCUCAACCGAGGAAUUGCACGAGAAACUGCGUGGCUCGAGUCCGGGAGAGGAUAGUGGAAUUCCUGGUGUAGCGGUGAAAUGCGCAGAUAUCAGGAGGAACACCGAUUGCGAAGGCAGCUCGCUGGAACGUUACUGACGCUGAGACGCGAAAGCGUGGGGAGCAAACAGG
rnacentral:rRNA from 1 species